rnacentral:lncRNA from 1 species
UAAAAAAUGCAUCUUUUUUAUUGGAAAGUUUAUGAAUUUUACAAUUUUUUUUCCUGAUUUUGUUAUUGUGCAUAUAAUAUUCAAUUAUAGGGUAUCUUUUUGAGGGUCACCUUACCGUGGAUCCUGAGCCACCAGAGCCUCUGUGGCUGUUGCAGUCAAACUUAAUGCGAGCAGCCUCUAUUUUGGAGGCUGAAUCCGCUGGAGGUCCAUCCGACCAUAAUAACACGACGAGAAAUGCUUCCGCUAUGCUAGAAGAGCUCAUAAGCAACCUUGAUGACAUUAUACCUGAGGUAGAAUUCAGCUCCUCAAGUUUGUCCUUUUGAAUUAAACCUUAUGGUUUUAAUUUUUUCCCCGAGGAAAUAAUAGGAAUUAACUUAAUUAUGUAAUUAAUUUAACUGUUUAGUUUGAAACUUUUAGCAGUGUUCGAUGUUUUCACGUUCUGUUUUUAAAUCUUAAUGGUGUUUGGAGUUUACAUUCAGAUGGAUUCGUCCUUUGAAUCCAUAUUUUUAUCUGAUUUAAUUUAAUGAUGUGUGGUUAAUGGAACUGAUGUUUUGUUCAAGGAAUUAACAUUGGGCUCAUUUUAAUAUUUCUGUCUUUAAGAUUAUGGUUCCAGACAAUGAAUCUAGAGUUCCAAAAGCGCCUCCCGCCAGUAAAGAGGUUGUUGCAAAGCUUCCAGUCAUUACUCUCACGGAGGAAAUCUUGGCCAGGCUUGGACAAGAUGCAGAGUGUGCAAUUUGUAAGGAGAAUUUGGUGGUUAAUGAUAAGAUGCAAGAGUUGCCUUGCAAGCACACAUUCCAUCCUCCUUGUCUAAAGCCAUGGCUGGUAAGCUUCUUGAUUGUGUUAACAUUUGCUUUUCAGUACUGUCAAAUACUUGAGCUGCAUAUGACAAAUACUAUCAAACAAUGCAUGUUUCUGAUUGGAAGCAACCUUUGCACAGGAUGAGCAUAAUUCUUGUCCAAUUUGCCGGCAUGUUUAAAUAUUUAAUUUAUCUAAUUUUAUAAAUUAUAAAAUUAUAUUGAUCGAAAAUUUUUAAAGUAAAAAUAUCUAAUAAAUAUAAUUUUAUAAAUUUAAAUAUUCAAUAAAUAUCAUAAUAAUAAGGUAUACUAGAAAUAUAAUUUUUCAAUUUUUUAUCAUUAAUAAUUUAUUAAUAAUUAUCUUUUAAUUCAUCGAUAGAUUUAAAUAGUUGAAAUAUUAUUAUAAUUACAUAAUAAAAAUAAAAUCUCUUCCGCUUGAAGAGAAUUUGAAUCCAAUCCACUUUUCUCCUGUUAAAUAUUUUGUUUUUUAGCCCAUUAAAAUUUUUCAUUAUAAAAAAAUCAUUUUUAUUGGAUGAAUUUGUUUUUUUUAAUUUUCAGAAUGAAAAUUUGACAAUUCUAGAAUCCUUUCCGCGUUAGAAAUAUAAUAACAGACCAAACCAUUACUCAAACAGGCCCUGGUUUCCCCUUCGCUAAGAAAAAGAAUAUCAUAAAUUCAGAACAGAAAUUCAACACAGCAAAAAUUGAAGCUUUUGUAAGUUCCAGAUUUUGAAUUGCGAGAAAACAAAAAUGGCAUCAUCUGAGGAAGGAUUGAAACAGCAAUUAGAAGAAUUGCAGAAACAGCUGGGAAAGAAACAGAAGUUCGAAGAUGCUGUAUCUUCUAUCAAAUCCCUUUUCCUAAAGUUCUACCCUUCUGCUUCCACCUCUCUUCGCAAAACAGUAAGCCUCUUUCUUCUCCUUCAAGUUGAGAUCGAUUUCGUUUCUAAAUUUUAAAUCAUUUUAGAAUUCCGGUGUUGAAUUGCAGUUCUAUACUGUUAUUUGUCGAGUAGCGACGAUUUUAAAAACGAGAUACACAGCGCCUGGUUUCUGGCACGCCGGAUUAGGGCUAUUUGAGCAAGCAGAAGUCUUGGUUUCUGAUUCAUCUGAAAAGGAGCAUUUGAAGAAUUGUAUUGCCCAAGCCAAAGAACAAUUGAAUCUGGCCCAAAAUCCUCCUGACGUUUCCUCGAGUUCCUCUCGUGGAGGUUGAAUUUCUGUAAAAAAUGCAUCUUUUUUAUUGGAAAGUUUAUGAAUUUUACAAUUUUUUUUCCUGAUUUUGUUAUUGUGCAUAUAAUAUUCAAUUAUAGGGUAUCUUUUUGAGGGUCACCUUACCGUGGAUCCUGAGCCACCAGAGCCUCUGUGGCUGUUGCAGUCAAACUUAAUGCGAGCAGCCUCUAUUUUGGAGGCUGAAUCCGCUGGAGGUCCAUCCGACCAUAAUAACACGACGAGAAAUGCUUCCGCUAUGCUAGAAGAGCU